rnacentral:lncRNA from 1 species
GACUAAGGCAAUGGGCGUGGCCAACCGAAGGAGGCAGAGAACACUGAGAACCAGAAAUUAGUACUGAAACUGGAGAGCACCCCGAAUGGAAACAGCAGCCACCAUCCUCCACAGGGCCUGCCGGGACCACCCUGCAGGGUGGUGGCCUGGGAGAGGACCCCAUGCCACAGCCAGGGCCCAUGUGAGAUGGUGUAUAGAGGGACUGUGCUUUGGGGCUGCCAUCACUGCAGAUACCUGAGGGGAAGGUGCCAGCUCUUCUGUCUCCACCCCAGAAUCUGCUGUGCAACAAAGGCAGAGGACUCUAGGGUGGCCUGAUCCAGCCAGGGCUGUAGGGUGAAGCCCACCUGCCUCCAGCUGCACAGUUGGCCACAGAACAUCUGGGAUACCUGGCCAAGCCUGGGAGGCAGCUCUCACCAAUACCCUCCACGUGCCCUGUAGAAUUUCCACCGUGUUCACUGAGAGCACUCUCCAUCAGCAAAAAGGAUCCAUGGUGCUGCUCAUUCUGGCCACUGGUCCCCACUCCUUACGAAGGCAUCUCCCUCAGAACAUGGUCACCAAGGGCCCGAGGGUGUGUCCUCACAGAACAUUCUGCACAGCAAGACUAGCAGGUUGCUAAAGCUGGAAGCUCCUUGAAGCUUUUCCAGCGGCCCCUUUGGAGGAAAUUUAGAGUCGCUGAUCAAUUUCAGUUACUUCGCAAUACAAAACUUCAAGCUUGCUGCCUUGUUAACAACAAUCGUCAACAUUUGUGUGUCUCUUCAUGGCAUACACAUGCACUCUCACAUCUAUUAUUUCAUCUGUUUUCACAAUCCAUCUCGAGGAUGAGGAAACUGAGGCAGGGAGGGGCCUAGGCUUGAACCGUGGUCCUCUGAGUCUUAGUCUGACUCCCACCUCUGGACCCAACUGCUUCUCAUCCUGUGUGGCAUGAAGUGUCACUGAUUUCUAGAUUGUAACAUUGUAAAGUCGCUUUUAGAUCCCUGCAACAAUAUUGUAUUACCAAUGUGAAGGAAAUGGCACAUUUUGAUUGCUGUAAUUCUUACGUUUUAAAUAAUCAACACAAAAAUGUUUUCAAUUCUUCUUGACAUAAAAUCUCCCCAUAUCUUUUGACUCUUCCAUCAAACAACUGUU